UACAGAGGAGCCAAGCGUUGUCCGGAUUGACUGGGCGUAAAGCGCACGCAGGCGGAUGCGCGCGUGGGGUGUGAAAUCUGGCCGCUUAACGGCCAGGCGCCAUCCCAUACGGCGCGUCUGGAGUGAUGCAGAGGUCGGUGGAAUUGCCGGUGUAGUGGUGAAAUGCGCAGAUAUCGGGAGGAACACCGGUGGCGAAGGCGGUUCUCUGGGCCGUUACCUGACGCUGAGGAGCGAAAGCAUGGGGAGCGAAACAGGG
rnacentral:rRNA from 1 species